GAAAAAUUCAGUCUCGAUACAUGUAUGCAGAAAACCCAAAUAUGGGUCCAGAAACAAACUAAAAACAAUCACGAAAUACCUGCUUUCCCCAUAGAUAAAUAAAUAUGCCCGCAGUCGAUAUGAAGUAUAAUCAACUCUCUCACCUACAACUAUGGAAAAUUUGAAAUCCACUUCGAAGUGAAAGAGAAGCCAAAAUGGAGAGCACGGCCCUUCAAUAUCAA
rnacentral:misc_RNA from 1 species